rnacentral:rRNA from 1 species
GACGAACGCUGGCGGCGUGCUUAACACAUGCAAGUCGAACGGAAAGGCCCCCUUGUGGGGUACUCGAGUGGCGAACGGGUGAGUAACACGUGAGUAACCUACCCUUGACUUUGGGAUAACUUCAGGAAACUGGGGCUAAUACCGGAUAGGAGCUCCUGCUGCAUGGUGGGGGUUGGAAAGUUUCGGCGGUUGGGGAUGGACUCGCGGCUUAUCAGCUUGUUGGUGGGGUAGUGGCUCACCAAGGCUUUGACGGGUAGCCGGCCUGAGAGGGUGACCGGCCACAUUGGAACGGAAGUGCGCCCGGGGCCCCUUCGGGAGGCAGCAGUGGGGAAUUUUGCACAAUGGGCGAAGGCCAAACGCAGCAAGCCCGGAGGGGGGGAAACGCCUUUGGGGUUGUAAACCGCUUUCGCCUGUGCGGAAGCGUAAGGACCGUUAAUGGGUAAAGAACAACGGGAAACCUAAGA